rnacentral:rRNA from 1 species
GAUGAACGCUAGCGGCAGGCUUAACACAUGCAAGUCGAGGGGUAACGAUGUCUUCGGACAGGCGACGACCGGCGCACGGGUGAGUAACGCGUAUGCAACCUGCCUUCAACAGGGAGAUAGCCCGAAGAAAUUCGGAUUAAUAUCCCAUAACACCACAGUGUCACCUGGCACCAUGGUUAAAGCUCCGGCGGUUGAAGAUGGGCAUGCGUGUCAUUAGUUUGUUGGUGAGGUAACGGCUCACCAAGACUACGAUGACUAGGGGGUCUGAGAGGAUGGUCCCCCACACUGGUACUGAGACACGGACCAGACUCCUACGGGAGGCAGCAGUGAGGAAUAUUGGUCAAUGGGCGCAAGCCUGAACCAGCCAUGCCGCGUGCAGGAUGACUGCCCUAUGGGUUGUAAACUGCUUUUAUACGGGAAGAAACUGUCCUACGUGUAGGACCCUGACGGUACCGUAAGAAUAAGCAUCGGCUAACUCCG